rnacentral:rRNA from 1 species
GACGUAGGGCGCGAGCGUUGUCCGGAUUUAUUGGGCGUAAAGAGCUCGUAGGCGGCUUGUCGCGUCGUCUGUGAAAACCCGCGGCUCAACGGCGGGCUUGCAGUCGAUACGGGCAGGCUGGAGUUCGGUAGGGGAGACUGGAAUUCCUGGUGUAGCGGUGAAAUGCGUAGAGAUCCGGAGGAACCCCAGAGGCGAAGGCGGCGUCCUGGCCCAUUUCUGACGUUCAGACAUGACAGCAUGGGGAGCGAACGGG